rnacentral:rRNA from 1 species
CUUCCAGACUCCUACGGGAGGCAGCAGUGGGGAAUAUUGGGCAAUGGAGGCAACUCUGACCCAGCAACGCCGCGUGAGUGAUGAAGGUCUUCGGAUUGUAAAACUCUUUAAGUGGGGACGAAGAAAGUGACUGUACCCACAGAAUAAGCCUCGGCUAACUACGUGCCAGCAGCCGCGGUAAUACGUAGGAGGCAAGCGUUAUCCGGAAUGACUGGGCGUAAAGGGUGCGUAGGCGGACUUUUAAGUGAGAUGUGAAAUACUCGGGCUCAACUUGAGUGCUGCAUUUCAAACUGGAAGUCUAGAGUGCAGGAGAGGAGAAUGGAAUUCCUAGUGUAGCGGUGAAAUGCGUAGAGAUUAGGAAGAACACCAGUGGCGAAGGCGAUUCUCUGGACUGUAACUGACGCUGAGGCUCGAAAGCGUGGGGAGCAAACAGGAUUAGAUACCCUGGUAG